GUCCACGCCGUAAACGAUGGGCACUAGGUGUCGCGGGUAUUGACCCCUGCGGUGCCGUAGCUAACGCAUUAAGUGCCCCGCCUGGGGAGUACGGCCGCAAGGCUAAAACUCAAAGGAAUUGACGGGGGCCCGCACAAGCGGUGGAGCAUGUGGUUCAAUUCGACGCAACGCUAAGAACCUUACCCGGGCUGGAAAACACAGAAGCCGGUGGAAACACUGGUGUGCUCGCAAGAGAGCUGUGGCUCAGGUGCUGCAUGGCUGUCGU
rnacentral:rRNA from 1 species